UUUGAGCCACAAUUAUUUAUUCCUAGAAAUGGACUCUGAGGAAAUAAUCAUAGGUGAGUGCAAAGAUUUAUUUACAAGGGUGCUUAAUACAGAUCUCUUUAUAAGUAGGAAAAAGGAGGAAGAAGAAGAGUUGAAGGAGAAGGAAGAAAAGGAAAAAAAUGGGAAGAUAUUGAGCACCCCUAUGAGAGAGAAAGACAGAGAGUGAGCAGGGUAGGGGCAGAGAGCAGGGGAGACACAGAAUCCGAAGCAGGCUCCAGGCUCUGAGCUGUCAGCACAGAGCCUGACGUGGGGCUCAAACCCACAAACCUUGUGAUCAUGACCUGAGCCGAAGUCAGAUGCCCACAUGACUGAGCCACCCAGGUGCCCCUUAUUAUCUCCACUUUAAAGGAUGCAAGUUCCAGGAAGACAGGAAUUAUUGUCUAUUUUGUCCACUGUUAUAUCCUCAGUGCCAGAAGAGAUAAUAAAUAGGAUCAGAGAGGUCAUCACAGAUGAUGUCAGGUAUCCAAGUCUGGAAGACUUAGGAACAUUUCAGCAUGCAGACAAAGGUAGAAAGAACACAGUAUAUAAAGAGGAGAUAAACACCAGAUUCCAGAAGGGCACACUGUUGCUCACCUAUAUACUGUAACUCGUGCUUGGGGCAAUGAUAUUUUAAGCCUUGGAGAAAGACUUGGAAGUACAGCAGCACCAGCU